rnacentral:lncRNA from 1 species
AUUAUGCGCACGCAUAAAUGUAUUAUGCAUUUACGCAUGCACAGAAAGUUUUGUAGCUUUGAGGUCCGGAUUAUACAUCAUUCCGGAUUAUGGAUGUUCGGAUUAAAGACUUUUGACUGUAUAUGGGCAGAAGUCUCAUCUAUGUGAAUUAUGUAAUAAGUGGUUUAGAGGAAUGACCAUUUUAAACAAGCAUAUUCAUAUAUCAGAGAAACAUUUCAUGUAAGGUGCAUAAGUUAUUUAUUCCAAAGGGUGAUUGUAUCUAUAGUCAUAGAGUAGAAGAGUGUCAUGAGUCGUAAAUGCAUGAAGUCAUAUGGACAGAAGAAAUUGUAGAAACAUGUUUUUCUACAUUGAAGGCAACUCACUUUUGAGGUGCUAAAAUAGUAACAAUGCUUAUUGAUGCAGUAAGAAAUCGUCGAUGCAGCCAAGAAACCUCAUUAUGUGAAUUUAAUUUUGGUUCAUUCGUACUUGGGACAUAAUUUAGGGAUGUCAAAAUUCGUCGAGUUUUAAGAGAUGCUCAGUGUCAUAAUUAAAAAUUUCCAGCCAUUAUAUUGUCCGGUAUAAAGCCAACAACACAGCCUGUGUGAAGUAUGCAAAUUGUCAUUUUAACAAAGUAAAUAAUAAGCUAUUUAUCUGUUUCAAAAAGAGAAAAACACUUUGUAUAUGUAAAAUAAGAAUCGAAUCGUUUUAAAGAAAUAUUGACUUGAAGUAACUUUUGCUAUUCCAAGAAAACUAGAGCUUCUUGAGAAAAUAAGUUUUUCCCUUUAAAGCAGCCGUUAUGCAAAUGGAUUUCAGGACAUUUUUACAUACAUAUUGCUUUUUACUUAUUCAUAAGUGUUCAGUCUUUAUAUGUAUCACCUACCAGAAUGCACUAUGAGGAUCACAUGCUUGUUACAACUUUGAAAUACUUCUAAUAGUGAAAUCCUGAAGUGUCACUAAAUGCUUGACUCAUAUCUUUACUGUAAUUUAUGUUAAAUUUGGCCUUUUUCUGAGUUUAAUGCUGUGACUGAUCACAGCUUUGUGUUUCAUGAUGGAACUGUGAUGGAUUGUGCAUGUAAUAAAAUAGUGCGUCUGGUACUCUCAUUUUAAAGUGAACAUAUACUGAAGACUAUGACUAUCCACUUACAGUAGCAAAUACACUACGAAGUUAGUAUAUGACAUUCACAGAAACAAUAAAAGGUUUCCUCAAGUUACUUUAAAAAAGGGAAAUGAGAUGUCAAAGAUUUCCAGUUAAAUCUUGGACAUAUCAAGAGCAACCUCAUGUGUAUAGAGUAUGUAGAAAGACAUUUGGAGGAACGAAUCCAUUUAGGAAGCAUUUUGAUGCUGAGUCUAUAUUUUUAUCUUGGCUCUAUGAAAUGUAUCAAACGAUGAAGGUGAUAAUAUUAGUUCCCUACAAGAUUGUCAUAUAUUGUUGAGUAACUGUCAGUGUUCGAGUUUGCACAUCCUGGAAUUCAUAUGCAAAAUAUCAAGCAGCUAUGAUGUUCUUCAGAAUUGCAGAACAAGAGCAGACGUACCACAAGACACCAUUUGAAGGCGUGGCCAUCAUUUGGUGGCAGAAAGCUAUUAACUUGGAGAAAAAAAGAAUUCUAAGCUAUUUUAGAAGCAGUUGCUAAAUAUUUUCUAUCCAAAAUAAAGCAAACAUAAUUCUAUCAAA